rnacentral:rRNA from 1 species
CUACGGGGCGCUGCAGUGAGGAAUAUUACACAAUGGGGGGAACCCUGAUGCAGCAACGCCGCGUGGAGGAUGACGCAUUUCGGUGUGUAAACUCCUUUUAUAUGUCAAGAAAAUGACGGUAGCAUAUGAAUAAGCACCGGCUAACUCCGUGCCAGCAGCCGCGGUAAUACGGAAAAUGCAAGCGUUACUCGGAAUCACUGGGCGUAAAGGACGCGUAGGCGGAUUGGAAAGUCAAAUGUGAAAUCCUACAGCUUAACUGUAGAACUGCACUUGAAACUUCUAAUCUAGAGUAUGGGAGGGGGAGAUGGAAUUAGUGGUGUAGGGGUAACAUCCGUAGAUAUCACUAGGAAUACCUAAAGCGAAGGCAAUCUCCUGGAACAUUACUGACGCUAAGGCGUGAAAGCGUGGGGAGCAAACAGGAUUAGAUACCCCAGUAGUC